AUUGAACGCUGGCGGCAUGCCUUACACAUGCAAGUCGAACGGUAACGCGGGGCAACCUGGCGACGAGUGGCGAACGGGUGAGUAAUGCAUCGGAACGUGCCUGGUAGUGGGGGAUAACUGCUCGAAAGAGCAGCUAAUACCGCAUACGACCUGAGGGUGAAAGGGGGGGAUCGCAAGACCUCUCGCUAUCAGAGCGGCCGAUGUCGGAUUAGCUAGUUGGUGGGGUAAAGGCCCACCAAGGCGACGAUCCGUAGCUGGUCUGAGAGGACGACCAGCCACAAUGGGACUGAGACACGGCCCAGACUCCUACGGGAGGCAGCAGUGGGGAAUUUUGGACAAUGGACGCAAGUCUGAUCCAGCCAUGCCGCGUGCGGGAAGAAGGCCUUCGGGUUGUAAACCGCUUUUGUCAGGGAAGAAAUCUUCUGAGUUAAUACCUCGGGAGGAUGACGGUACCUGAAGAAUAAGCACCGGCUAACUACGUGCCAGCAGCCGCUGUAACAC
rnacentral:rRNA from 1 species